AACGAACGCUGGCGGCAUGCCUAACACAUGCAAGUCGAACGAGACCUUCGGGUCUAGUGGCGCACGGGUGCGUAACGCGUGGGAACCUGCCCUUAGGUUCGGAAUAACUCCCCGAAAGGGGUGCUAAUACCGGAUAAUGUCUUCGGACCAAAGAUUUAUCGCCUUUGGGUGGGCCCGCGUUGGAUUAGCUAGUUGGUAGGGUAAAAGCCUACCAAGGCGACGAUCCAUAGCUGGUCUGAGAGGAUGAUCAGCCACACUGGGACUGAGACACGGCCCAGACUCCUACGGGAGGCAGCAGUGGGGAAUAUUGGACAAUGGGCGAAAGCAUGAUCCAGCAAUGCCGCGUGAGUGAUGAAGGCCGUAGGGUUGUAAAGCUCUUUUACCCGGGAUGAUAAUGACAGUACCGGGAGAAUAAGCUCCGGCUAACUCCGUG
rnacentral:rRNA from 1 species